GUCCCCAUCGUCUAGAGGCCCAGGACACCGGCCUUUCACGCCGGUAACCGGGGUUCGACUCCCCGUGGGGACGCCA
rnacentral:tRNA from 1 species